rnacentral:rRNA from 1 species
GACGAACGCUGGCGGCGUGCUUAACACAUGCAAGUCGAACGGAAAGGCCUCUUUCGGGGGGUACUCGAGUGGCGAACGGGUGAGUAACACGUGAGUAACCUGCCCUUGACUUUGGGAUAACUUCAGGAAACUGGGGCUAAUACCGGAUAGGAGCUCCUGCUGCAUGGUGGGGGUUGGAAAGUUUCGGCGGUUGGGGCUGGACUCGCGGCUUAUCAGCUUGUUGGUGGGGUAGUGGCUUACCAAGGCUUUGACGGGUAGCCGGCCUGAGAGGGUGACCGGCCACAUUGGGACUGAGAUACGGCCCAGACUCCUACGGGAGGCAGCAGGGGGGAAUAUUGCACAAUGGGUGGAAGCCUGAUGCAGCAACGCCGUGUGCGGGAUGACGGCCUUCGGGUUGUAAACCGCUUUCGCUCAUGACGAAGCUUUGUGUGACGGUAGUGGGUAAAGAAGCACCGGCUAACUACGUG